rnacentral:rRNA from 1 species
CUAAUUACGUGCCAGCAGCCGCGGUAAUACGUAGGGGGCAAGCGUUGUCCGGAAUUAUUGGGCGUAAAGCGCGCGUAGGCGGUUUCUUAAGUCUGAUGUGAAAUCUUGCGGCUCAACCGCAAGCGGCCAUUGGAAACUGAGGAACUUGAGUGCAGAAGAGGAGAGCGGAAUUCCACGUGUAGCGGUGAAAUGCGUAGAUAUGUGGAGGAACACCAGUGGCGAAGGCGGCUCUCUGGUCUGUAACUGACGCUGAGGUGCGAAAGCGUGGGGAGCGAACAGGAUUAGAUACCCUGGUAGUCCACGCCGUAAACGAUGAGUGCUAGGUGUUAGGGGGUUUCCGCCCCUUAGUGCUGCAGUUAACGCAUUAAGCACUCCGCCUGGGGAGUACGGCCGCAAGGCUGAAACUCAAAAGAAUUGACGGGGGCCCGCACAAGCGGUGGAGCAUGUGGUUUAAUUCGAAGCAACGCGAAGAACCUUACCAGGUCUUGACAUCUUCGGAUGUCCCUAGAGAUAGGGAGUUCCCUUCGGGGACCGAAUGACAGGUGGUGCAUGGUUGUCGUCAGCUCGUGUCGUGAGAUGUUGGGUUAAGUCCCGCAACGAGCGCAACCCUUGAUCUUAGUUGCCAGCAUUUAGUUGGGCACUCUAAGGUGACUGCCGGUGACAAACCGGAGGAAGGUGGGGAUGACGUCAAAUCAUCAUGCCCCUUAUGACCUGGGCUACACACGUGCUACAAUGGAUGGAACAAAGGGCAGCGAAGCCGCGAGGUGUAGCAAAUCCCAUAAAUCCAUUCUCAGUUCGGAUUGCAGGCUGCAACUCGCCUGUAUGAAGCCGGAAUCGCUAGUAAUCGUGGAUCAGCAUGCCACGGUGAAUACGUUCCCGGGCCUUGUACACACCGCCCGUCACACCACGAGAGUUGGCAACACCCGAAGUCGGUGGGGUAACCUUUGGAGCCAGCC